AGCCUUCUCAACUAGUGCCGAGAUUUCGUCAGAUACCAGACGAACAGCACUGAUGAGACUCACAAGAUAAGCUAAGCG
rfam:Schistosoma mansoni, Puerto Rico, WGS project CABG01000000 data, contig: 0136